GGAGAGUGGGCAGGACGGUAAUGCGCGAGUUUCGAAAACUCGUGUCCUCCGGGACUAACAGGUUCGACCCCUGUACUCUCCG
rnacentral:tRNA from 1 species